UCAAGUUGAACUUGCCCAAUCUUCCUUGAUCGCAUCUAUUCGUGUCUUUCUUAUGCACUAUAUGGCCAUUACUGGGUCAAAUAUGCUCAUCUGGGACCAGUGAGCCCCGAGAAAGCAGCGGCGACGGACGGCCAUUCCCGGGGGAGCCCUUUGUCGCCCUUGGCGCGACCGCCUCUGCCUCUCCUCCGGAACUCCUGACCUCGAUGGUACCUUUUGGGUCAUCGGGGCGUUGGUAAUAAAGAACGCCGACGCGCCCGACCAUCGGCUUCCCCUUCCGCAACUUGAUGUCUCAGAGCGUCGCCCACCGAUAGCCCGUCCUCUUCGCAAUUCCAUUGAGGGGGCCGAGGGCGUUUCUUGUCACGCUUCCCUCUCCCGGCUCCUCGUCCAAUGAAGACCGGCCACCAGACCAGGUGUUUGUCCCUCUCGUUCUCAAUCAUUUUUUGUGCACUGGCUGGGAGUACAGUAGAAGGAUUGCGCCAUGUUUGACGCUAAUGGGGUUGUAAUUGUGUUUCUUGCCCUAUAAAUAUUAUAUUAGUGUUGGCAGCGAUAACUGGCCCCUGAAUCCCAUCCACCAUAUGUAUUACGGAAUUAUCUUUUUCAUUCUUGUUUGACCAUGUUCUUACUAAUGUCAGAUUUGGAAGGGUAGAGUACAUUGAAACAAUUAUUCUAAAUAUUCUACUUAGCUUACUCAUUUGCUGUUUGAAACAGCAAAGCAGCCCGUUCAACAAGCAACCAACUAGCAAAAGGAUGAUCAUGGCAAGGAGUUUGACGCUUCUCAGGCUUAGAAGUCACCAGUGCAUGUGCUUCACAAAUCAACAUGGCUGGGACAAGGACCACCAAAUCUGAAGGUUUGGUCAUACAGGCUGGGAGCUUCUACCAUCUUUAUUUCAAGGAUGAACAACCUUCUAUACAUGAACCCACUCCUGCAGACUUCUCUGGAAAUUCAAUGCCACUGUGCUUGAUGCCAUCUUAAACUGCACUCCUUUUGUUGACAGUUCUAACACGGUAUGAUUAUCAGACUGGGAGCUUCCACCAACUUCAUCUCAAGGAUGAACAACUUCUCUGCUGUAGGUGAACUCACUGUUGCUGAUUAGUUCUUUAUAAGCUGGUCUUGGUCUUCAGAACAGCACGGAGCAGUGAAGCCAGAUCCAGAGGUCAUCAAAUGGGCCAUCCCAGGGAGGAUUCAGUGAACCCAUCUACUACAGUACAUUUUGCACAGGAUUAUGGAGACUCUCCUUUGGAAAGACAAGAUCAAACAACAAUUACACCAUUAUGUACCAACAGACUGCAGCAGUGCAUGUUUUACCUACAUGAAAUUGAAUUAUGUAGACUUAUGUGAGUUCUGUUAUUGAGUACAUCCUUGUCCUUUUCAGGAUCAAAGUUUCGGGUGCCUUGCCACUGUGACUGACACCAUCAGGAGCUUACGGACUCGCGUCUUUGUCUCCCACCGAGAUUUGAGUGAGAGAUUGGUAUCUCAAAAUUAACAUGGAUCAUAGCCAUGCCAUCUACUAAUGGAGGUACAUUUACGAUCCAUGAGCCAGCCAACUCCAUUGAAC